UAAAUCUCUUGGGCUGCUGAA
rnacentral:misc_RNA from 1 species